AACGUAGGGCGCGAGCGUUGUCCGGAUUUAUUGGGCGUAAAGAGCUCGUAGGCGGUUUGUCGCGUCGUCCGUGAAAACUCACAGCUUAACUGUGAGCUUGCGGUCGAUACGGGCAGGCUAGAGUUCGGUAGGGGAGACUGGAAUUCCUGGUGUAGCGGUGAAAUGCGCAGAUAUCAGGAGGAACACCGGUGGCGAAGGCGGGUCUCUGGGCCGAUACUGACGCUGAGGAGCGAAAGCGUGGGGAGCGAACAGG
rnacentral:rRNA from 1 species